GCUUGUGGUGACACGUGCUCGCCCAUGGACGGGAAGAGAGUUUACGUGUUUCAGAUAAAACGUUUCCAGCUGCAGGUCUACGCAAGUUCGGAUGUUCCCCUUGCAGGCUCCCGUUGGUAAGGGCCGUUUCCGUACGUUGAGACGGUGAACAAGGUAACGACUAUCCCACGCUUGGAUAUUGGAAUCACCCAAGGACUUCGUCAAGACGCUGAGAAUUAUCUUGAGACCGUUGCAAACUUGAAAGUUUUUGCCGGCCGGUGCUGCGUGCGUUCUCCGGAUCGGGAACCCGGAUUGAGGACCUCCAGAUGCGCAAGAGAAAUCGCGGAGCUUACCUAGGUCAAGGUUUUCAAUUCACAACAGCUAGAUCUACUGCACUUGCUAAAGAUGUCACUGGCGGAACACACGGCAUUGAAGAGCCGGGCGCCGCCAGACGUGGGGCCGCUAGCCAAGAUGUACGGCACGACGAAGCUCCCUAAAUCACCCACCAUACAUCACGCCCCCUUCUUACAUACCUCAUCGCACCGGUCAUCCGCUUCAAGUUGCACGCGCACGGGCCCGGACCACCACAUUUCAAGCAUCAUUUUUUAUUCGAGCAUCAAGGGACUGGAACGGCCUUCCACAUGCCAUCGCAGCCAUUACAAGCCCAUCUGCCUUUACUGAAGCUGUUGUCACCCAUAUCUCAAAAUGAACGCCCGUUUCUAAUGUUCAUUUUAAUAACCACCCCUUAUGUAAUACCCCUCUAAUGGGUUUUUUAAGGCAAUAAAGUGAA